GGUAAAAGCUCAAAUUUGAAAUCUGGUACUUUCAGUGCCCGAGUUGUAAUUUGUAGAAUUUGUCUUUGAUUAGGUCCUUGUCUAUGUUCCUUGGAACAGGACGUCAUAGAGGGUGAGAAUCCCGUUUGGCGAGGAUACCUUUUCUCUGUAAGACUUUUUCGAAGAGUCGAGUUGUUUGGGAAUGCAGCUCAAAGUGGGUGGUAAAUUCCAUCUAAAGCUAAAUAUUGGCGAGAGACCGAUAGCGAACAAGUACAGUGAUGGAAAGAUGAAAAGAACUUUGAAAAGAGAGUGAAAAAGUACGUGAAAUUGUUGAAAGGGAAGGGCAUUUGAUCAGACAUGGUGUUUUUUGCAUGCACUCGCCUCUCGUGGGCUUGGGCCUCUCAAAAAUUUCACUGGGCCAACAUCAGUUCUGGCAGCAGGAUAAAUCAUUAAGAAUGUAGCUACCUCGGUAGUGUUAUAGCUUAUUGGAAUACUGCUAGCUGGGAUUGAGGACUGCGCUUCGGCAAGGAUGUUGGCAUAAUGGUUAAAUGCCGC
rnacentral:rRNA from 1 species